rfam:Agrobacterium tumefaciens F2 plasmid unnamed p2, whole genome shotgun sequence.
GUCGCCAAUGCAGCCGACCCAAGCCAUAGGCCUGCGAAGGCGAAGGCCGCAACUGGCCAGCAUCGCGUCGACAUAAUCGCGAGGCCGGCCGC